ACAAAACACGAACAACUCUCGACCCAAUCAAGCAAAAGUCUAGAAGGUCGCCCCUGUUCCUCCUCAAAAUUAUGCCGCCUACAGCCGACAUAAUUUUCUUGGCAGAAACAGAUACUCAUUCAGUCACUCCCUCCAGUCUAGGAGGAGUUAAACAACUCAAUCGCCGACUUUCGCGAUAAGUCACGCCUCUCGCGUCUAGUCUUCCUAAGGUCUGCCAAGCCUAGAGUUUUCUAGGUCCCAACGACCUAAUUCUAAGCUCUGAUACUAACUUAAUCUGUCACGUUUCGGAUUUCCAUAUUUUUUAGGGCACGCAAACAAACUCGCCGUAUAC
rnacentral:lncRNA from 1 species